CUAACCGGAAUAACUUCCUGUCCCCGCCUCUCUCCCCCAGUUCCUCGUACAUGCGACCAAACGCCGCGUUCUUAGCUUCUGAAACCGCCAGCUUUGCUUCUUUCCUCGCCACCUUGUGGAUCUCCCUGUUCGCUCUCCGUUCUUACUCGCUUGUGCUCCCUGCCAACUUAGCAAACGCCGCCUUCUUCACCUCCACUUUUCCUUCGAC
rnacentral:lncRNA from 1 species